UCUGUCUUAGUAUAUGAAUUAUGUAGGCUUUUCGUGCCUAGGAAGAUGCUUUAGCAUCAGACAGCG
rnacentral:tRNA from 1 species